CUACGGGAUGCUGCAGUGAGGAAUUUUGCGCAAUGGGGGGAACCCUGACGCAGCAACGCCGCGUGAGUGAUGAAGGCUUUCGGGUCGUAAAGCUCUGUCAAGUGGGAAGAACCUAUGCAGUGUUAAUAUCACUGUAUACUGACGGUACCACUGAAGGAAGCACCGGCUAGCUCCGUGCCAGCAGCCGCGGUAAUACGGGGGGUGCAAGCGUUAUUCGGAAUCAUUGGGCGUAAAGGGCACGUAGGCGGCUUGGUAAGUCAGAUGUGAAAGCCCGGGGCUUAACCCCGGAAGUGCAUUUGAUACUGUCAGGCUUGAGUAUGGGAGAGGGAAGUGGAAUUCCUGGUGUAGAGGUGAAAUUCGUAGAUAUCAGGAGGAACACCGGUGGCGAAGGCGACUUCCUGGACCAAUACUGACGCUGAGGUGCGAAGGCGUGGGUAGCAAACAGGAUUAGAUACCCGAGUAGUC
rnacentral:rRNA from 1 species